CAAUCGGCCCUUUUCAGGGUCAACAAAUGUACUAAAGAGGUAAUUGU
rfam:Aedes aegypti strain Liverpool supercont1.97 genomic scaffold, whole genome shotgun sequence.